AUGUUUGUCGGUUUAGUGUGCAAGGUUUUCUGGCUCCAAGAUGAUGAUUGGCACAAGGGUUCCAUCACGGCCUACAUGGAACUAACCAAGAAUUCUGUGAAGUAUGAAGACCUUACCCUAGCUAAUGAAAGGAUUAAAUUUUCCAUUUCAUCCGAGGAAAUGAAGUGCCUGAACUUGAAAUUUGGAACAUCUAACCUGGAUAAGAAGGGAUGCGAUGAGCUACUUGCACUUGUUGUCAGCUUUCAUGACUACCAAGGUCUUGAUCCAGAUGAUGUAGUGUGGGCUAAAAUAACAGAUUCUCUAAACACAUGCUCCACAACACAAUGA
rnacentral:rRNA from 1 species